rnacentral:tmRNA from 1 species
GGGGCCGAUCGGUAUCGACCGGGCAGGGAAUGCCCGGCGUGGCGCGUCGCGGCGCACGCUGGCCGCGUUAACAAGCGUGCAAACUCAUACUUGCCAACACGCAGUAUGCCCUCGCGGCCUAAUUAGGCCGCAUGGCCCGCCUAUGACGCCCGAUGGUGGGCGGGCCAACGACUAUCGGGAUCACCUCGUCUGACACGGCUCCGAGGCCGGCGAGGGACACUUAACCGGGGCUGGUCCCGCGGCGGGUGGCGAUGCCCAACCCGCGGGGCGAGACUUAAAUCACCGCCUACACGCGUAGAAGCGCCGAGCGGACUGUCACGGGACGGGGGUUCGAUUCCCCCCGGCUCCACUC